CCCUUAGAUGUUCUGGGCCGCACGCGCGCUACACUGAUGCAUUCAACAAGCCUAGCCCUGACCGAGAGGUCCGGGUAAUCUUUGAAACUGCAUCGUGAUGGGGCUAGAUUAUUGCAAUUAUUAUUCUUCAACGAGGAAUGCCUAGUAAGCGUGAUUCAUCAAAUCGCGUUGAUUACGUCCCUGCCCUUUGUACACACCGCCCGUCGCUCCUACCGAUUGAAUGUGUUGGUGAGGAGCUCGGAUUGGCAGCAGUUGGUGGUUCGCCACCGGCUAUUGCUGAGAAGUCCUCCAAACCGCCCCAUUUAGAGGAAGGAGAAGUCGUAACA
rnacentral:rRNA from 1 species